rnacentral:rRNA from 1 species
AUGCGCCGCCUAAAGUUGGUACGCAAUAUGAGGGCACAUAGCGACCCGUGGUUUGCUGAAUACUUGUUGCGCAUUGGUGAUGGCAAGGAGGAGACCAAUAAUGAUGGUUGUGUCCGCCUUCCGGACGAGAUAUGUGUGCCCUGUACUGGGAAGGGCACUGAUCUUGAUACAUUGAUAGAUAAUGUUUUUCCCGGUCUCGGUGCUAAUAUGUCUGAUCCAAACUACAUCACCUCCAGAGCAAUCCUAUCGACGCGAAAUGAUUGUGUGGAUAGGAUAAAUAUAAAGAUGAUCAACCGAUUCCACGGAGAUGAGAUGGUGUAUCAUAGCUUUGAUUCGGCAGUCAAUGACCCUCAUAACUAUUAUCCAUCUGAGUUCCUUAACACUUUGACCCCUAAUGGGUUGCCUCCACAUGUGUUGAAGCUCAAGAUAAACUGCCCUAUUAUAUUGCUCAGAAAUAUUGACCCCGCGAAUGGACUUUGCAAUGGCACGAGGCUGGUGGUUCGAGGAUUCCAGAGGAAUGUCAUCGAUGCAGAAAUUGUGCUAGGGCAACAUGCUGGAAAGAGGAUCUUCUUGCCAAGGAUCCCCCUUUGUCCCAGUGAUGACGAGAUGUUCCCUUUCCAGUUCAAGAGGAAGCAGUUUCCUAUUAGGCUCAGCUUUGCCAUGACGGUCAACAAGGCACAAGGGUAG